UGAGGGUUAAUCCAGCCUCUAGUGGCUGUCUCACUGACAGCCGCUAGAGGAGCACACUGAAUGUCCAUAGGAAAGCAUUGAGUAAUGCUUUCCUAUGGGCGGUUUGAAUGCGUGCGCGGUCGCAUUCGGAGCUGAGAGGCUGAGGGAUCCCCAGCGCCAAGGGAGUCCGGCGCUGAAGAAAGGUAAGUGCUGAAGACACACACACUCUCACUUACAGACGCAUACACACUAGCUAACAGACACACACAUUUACUGACAGAGACACACUCAGCGACAGACAUACAUACACUCUCAUUGACAAACACACACUCACUAACAGACAUCAAACAGACUCACUAACACCCACACACUCAGUAAGACACACAGUAACACACUCACUGACACUCACUAGCAGACACUCACUCUAACACUCACUCUAACACUCACACUUUUUUUUUUUUUAAUUUUUAAUCCCCCCCAGCCUCCUUACCUUUUGGAGUGCUGGGGGGAUUCCCUGGGGUCCAGUGGUGCUGCUGGGCUCCUGGGCGGGUGGCCGGUCGGGCAGGCUGGCGCGCAAGGGAGCACUCAGUGCUUCC